UCUUCUUCUUCUUCUUCUUCCCCAAUGUUGGGUUCGCUUCAAUACCCUUCUCAGCUCUCAAAGAAGCAGCAGAAACAGGAAAGAGAAUGGUUUGCAGUGAGUUUCAAGCCAGAGAAUUUCAUUCCAGGUCUAGUCAUUGGUUUCAUUUUUGGGUUGUUCUUGGACUUAUCAAAACCCAUCAAAAACAAUAAUAAUACUACUCCUAAGAAGGCGGCCAAUCUCUUACUGGGAAAGCAGCAAAGACUGGUCUCAACUAACACUGAUGAAGAGCUUAAAAUGGUACUGUCUCUUAUUGUACCGCCUCAGUUCUUUGUUCACUCUGCUUUUUAUCUUUCUUCAAACAUUAUUGUUGUAGAACUCAAUUAAAUGUUGUAGAAAACAUUGUUUGAUUUUAAUUGUUUUUGCUUUUGGGAGUUUUCUAUCAAUGAAUUUGAUUUAGAGGGUGAUAUGUGAUAGGUGGGUUUGAUCUUUGUACUUAGUAUAAGGAGUUUGGUGUGAUGUAUUUGGAGAUUUUGAUCAAUACUAAGCAGUUUGGUAGGAACUGUUGUUAAAAAAUAUGGAGUAAUCCUAUUAAUAUGCUGCUACUAGAACCCAUUUUUUUGUGUUUCUUCCUUAAUCAGUCAGUGAGUGUAGUUCAGAUUGAUUUUUAAUUGUUAUGUUACAAUAAGUGAUGUUUUGCAUGUAUUUAAACUAUACCUAAAAAAGAAAAAACCCUAAUUGAUCGGAUUGGACUAUUGUUGCUUGGAAGGCCCUUUGUUGAAUUUUGAUUGCAGUGUUGUAAGAUAUAUACGAUUCUAUUCAAUUUCUUAUAUAGUCCUGUAAGCACAUAAAGGUGAAAGAUGUAGAAGACUGCCCCAUAAUUAGUAGCUGGGCUAAGUUUUAUCCAUCGAAUUGCUGAAUGUGAGCUUGUUUUCUUCCAGGAUGAUAAUAGGAAGUGGCUUACGAGCAUCAAUGGAAGGUUUUCUUGAUGCUUUUAUGGAGCAAGUAACCGCCUUUCCGAAUGAUGUUAGAGAAGACCUUAGAUGUUCUAUGGCUUAGGAUGCAGAGACUAUCAAGAACGAGAGCUGAAGCAUCAAUAAAGAUCCAAAAUGUGUGGAACUAUCAAUAAAUGCAGACAAAGACAAAUUGCAAGCACAGCUACCUAAGGAUAUAUCAUUGGAUUUUCAGAAAAAGGUUAUUAUAGCCAAACAUGAGAAGCAAGAAGCCAACUCUGAUAUUUUGUUGGGAAAAAAUGAAACUUACAAGCGUCUUAUGGGUAUGUAAACAGUGAGAAUUAACUGCUUAUGCAAAAAGGGUUAACUGAAUUCUCGUCUUAUGGGUAUGUAAACAGUGGGAAUUAACUGCUUAUGCAAAAAUGGUUAACUGAAUUCUUUCUUCAAGAAGCAUAGUGUAUGGUAGUUGAACCAUGUUUUGAACAUA